rnacentral:rRNA from 1 species
GACGAACGCUGGCGGCGUGCUUAACACAUGCAAGUCGAACGGAAAGGCCCUUCGGGGUACUCGAGUGGCGAACGGGUGAGUAACACGUGGGUGAUCUGCCCUGCACUUUGGGAUAAGCCUGGGACACUGGGUCUAAUACCGAAUAGGACCACGCGCUUCAUGGUGUGUGGUGGAAAGCUUUUGCGGUGUGGGAUGGGCCCGCGGCCUAUCAGCUUGUUGGUGGGGUAAUGGCCUACCAAGGCGACGACGGGUAGCCGGCCUGAGAGGGUGACCGGCCACACUGGGACUGAGAUACGGCCCAGACUCCUACGGGAGGCAGCAGGGGGGAGUAUUGCACAAUGGGCGCAAGCCUGAGGCAGCGACGCCGCGUGAGGGAUGACGGCCUUCGGGUUGUAAACCUCUUUCAAUAGGGACGAAGCGCAGGUGACGGUACCUAUAGAAGAAGCACCGGCCAACUACGUG